UCACAGCAUCAAUAUCUCCUCCUCAUGACUCACGGCAGAGGCUGCUGGUCCUCCAGUCCACACACACUCCCUGCUGGCGGCACACGGUGCUGUACGCCGUCACCAGGUCACACAAGGCAUUGGGCUGGCAGGCCACGCUCCGGCAGAUCUGUAUGUAGUCCUGCACAGGAACCAGAGCGUGACAGUGGCUGAAGACCUCAGAGCUCAACACAUCACAGGCUUUCUCCAGACCUGCGGGACAGAGUUGUAUCUCCUGAUGCUGGACACACUCAGAGCCCAGAGCCCAGGCCUGCAGUUCAUCUACUGUACCUUCAUGUCAUCCUGAAGCACCACACUGGUCCCGCCUUCCCUCAGCUCCAGGCUCUUCAUGCAGAUCUGAUUGGGUGAGCUUUGACAGGCAGUCGUAUGUAAAACUAGCUCCGCCCCCCCUGAGCGAAGCAGCAAAUAG
ensembl:processed_transcript